rnacentral:rRNA from 1 species
GUGGGGAAUUUUGGACAAUGGGCGAAAGCCUGAUCCAGCAAUGCCGCGUGCAGGAUGAAGGCCCUCGGGUUGUAAACUGCUUUUGUACGGAACGAAAAGCCUGGGGCUAAUAUCCCCGGGUCAUGACGGUACCGUAAGAAUAAGCACCGGCUAACUACGUGCCAGCAGCCGCGGUAAUACGUAGGGUGCAAGCGUUAAUCGGAAUUACUGGGCGUAAAGCGUGCGCAGGCGGUUUUGUAAGACAGUGGUGAAAUCCCCGGGCUCAACCUGGGAACUGCCAUUGUGACUGCAAGGCUAGAGUGCGGCAGAGGGGGAUGGAAUUCCGCGUGUAGCAGUGAAAUGCGUAGAUAUGCGGAGGAACACCGAUGGCGAAGGCAAUCCCCUGGGCCUGCACUGACGCUCAUGCACGAAAGCGUGGGGAGCAAACAGG